rnacentral:rRNA from 1 species
GAAUUGCAGAAUUCAGUGGAAUCAUCGAAUCUUUGAACGCACCUUGCGCCCUUUGGCUAUUCCAAAGGGCAUGCCUGUUUUGAGUAUC